GCCCCGACGCCGGCACCGUGG
rnacentral:miRNA from 1 species